ACUUCUUUGGCAGAACUUUCUUAAAUUCUAACCACAACAUUCUCACCGAGCAGCUUUUAGUAUCAUAUCACAGGCUAAAUCACGCACACAACUUGUUGCUUAUGAGAAAAACUUAUAGGUUUUGGCUUGAACGAUGAUCGAUCUUAACCCUCCAAUAGGUGCUACCACCAUCAAAACAACUCCAAGUACAAUACAGAUCUGA
rnacentral:lncRNA from 1 species